UGAGCUUGAUCUAACGGUUGAACUGAGAGAUAUUGAGGUUUAAGUGAGUCAAGGUCUCAGAAAGUAGAAUUUUAGGUCCAAUGAGGGUUUUUAAGAUUUCAUGCAAUCUACUAGUUGAAUUGGAGUAAAACUUAUGUGAGAGGAUAUUAGACUUGUUUUCCUAUGUCCAUGAGAAAUUUGAAACCAAUCGAAUGGCGCAAAGAAGAGAAAUUGGCUCUGGAAGGU
rnacentral:lncRNA from 1 species